GACGAACGCUGGCGGCGUGCUUAACACAUGCAAGUCGAACGGUGAAGGGACUGGUUUUGCUGGUCCUGGAUGAGUGGCGAACGGGUGAGUAACACGUGAGUAACCUGCCCCCUUCUUCUGGAUAACCGCAUGAAAGUGUGGCUAAUACGGGAUAUUCUGGGUCUGUCGCAUGGUGGGCCUGGGAAAGAUUGCGCCUUUUUUGGUGUUUUUGGUGGGGGAUGGGCUCGCGGCCUAUCAGCUUGUUGGUGGGGUGAUGGCCUACCAAGGCGGUGACGGGUAGCCGGCCUGAGAGGGUGGACGGUCACACUGGGACUGAGACACGGCCCAGACUCCUACGGGAGGCAGCAGUGGGGAAUAUUGCACAAUGGGCGCAAGCCUGAUGCAGCGACGCCGCGUGAGGGAUGGAGGCCGUCGGGUUGUGAACCUCUUUCGCCAGUGAAGCAGGCCUGCCUCUUUUUGUGGGUGGGUUGACGGUAGCUGGAUAAGAAGCGCCGGCUAACUACGUG
rnacentral:rRNA from 1 species